CUGCUCACUUCUUCAGGCAAAAGCUAUCUUCAGAUCUCUCUCUGCCAAGCAAAUGGAGCACUUGCCUUCAGGGAGGAGAAUCAAGCCAGUCUCCAUCUUCUCUACUAAAGGAUUCUGGCUGGGAGGUUUCCUAAGUUUCUUCUCAUUCUCAUUCUGUGGCCCCAGAAAGUGAACCCUCAGAGGUGGGACUUUGGUUUCUUCCGUUGCCCGUGCGAUGUGUAAACGUGGAGCAAGGCAGGGCCUUCUUCACU
rnacentral:lncRNA from 1 species